rnacentral:rRNA from 1 species
CAUGCAAGUCGAGCGCUUUCCUUCGGGAAAGAGCGGCGAACGGGUGAGUAACACGUAGGAUAUCUGCCUUUUGGUGGGGAAUAGCCGAGGGAAACCUCGAUUAAUGCCGCAUAUGGCCUAAGGGUCAAAGUCUUCGGACGCCAAGAGAUGAGCCUGCGGCCCAUUAUUUAAUCCUAGUUGGUGGGGUAACGGCCUACCAAGGGUACGAUGGGUAGCUGGUCUGAGAGGACGAUCAGCCACACUGGGACUGAGACACGGCCCAGACUCCUACGGGAGGCAGCAGUGGGGAAUAUUGCGCAAUGGGCGAAAGCCUGACGCAGCCAACCCGCGUGUGUGAUGAAGGCCCUAGGGUCGUAAAGCACUGUCGUGAGGGAAGAAGAUCUGACGGUACCUCACAAGAAAGCACCGGCUAACUCCGUGCCAGCAGCCGCGGUAAUACGGAGGGUGCAAGCGUUGCUCGGAAUCACUGGGCGUAAAGGGUCCGCAGGCGGACAUGUAAGUCGGGUGUGAAAGCCCAGGGCUCAACCCCUGGAACUGCAUUCGAAACUGCAUGUCUUGAGUACCGGGAGAGGGAAGCGGAAUUCCUGGGUGGUAGAGGUG